rnacentral:snoRNA from 1 species
AAUCCAUGGUACGGGCAUUCCUUGAUCAAUGUCUUAAAGUGUUCCCAAGCCUCGUGAAAACUUUCCCUUCCAUUUGUCUCAAAACAACAAUUUCUCUUCUUAGUUG